rnacentral:rRNA from 1 species
GUGCAGCAGGCGCGAAACCUUCGCAAUGCGCGAAAGCGCGACGAGGCUACUCUGAGUGCCAUCCGCUGAGGAUGGCUUUUCUCGGGUGUAAAAAGCCCGAGGAAUAAGGGGAGGGCAAGUCUGGUGUCAGCCGCCGCGGUAAUACCAGCUCCCCGAGUGGUUGGGGCGUUUAUUGGGCCUAAAGCAUCCGUAGCCGGCUCCAUAAGUCCUCCGUUAAAUCCAACGGCUCAACCGUUGGGCUGCGGAGGAUACUGUGGGGCUAGGGGGCGGGAGAGGCGGACGGUAUUCCAUAGGUAGGGGUAAAAUCCUUUGAUCUAUGGAAGACCACCAGUGGCGAAGGCGGUCCGCUAGAACGCGCCCGACGGUGAGGGAUGAAAGCUGGGGGAGCGAACCGGAUUAGAUACCCCUGUAGUCC